CAAGAAAUAGUUUAAUAAUGAAAAAUUUGAACUUUGGAAGUUCAUGAUGAUAUAUAUCUUUCUUGA
rnacentral:tRNA from 1 species